rnacentral:rRNA from 1 species
AACGAACGCUGGCGGCAGGCCUAACACAUGCAAGUCGAACGCCCCGCAAGGGGAGUGGCAGACGGGUGAGUAACGCGUGGGAACGUACCCUUCGGUUCGGGAUAACUCAGGGAAACUUGAGCUAAUACCGGAUACGUCCGAGAGGAGAAAGAUUUAUCGCCGAGGGAUCGGCCCGCGUCUGAUUAGCUUGUUGGUGAGGUAACGGCUCACCAAGGCGACGAUCAGUAGCUGGUCUGAGAGGAUGAUCAGCCACAUUGGGACUGAGACACGGCCAAACUCCUACGGGAGGCAGCAGUGGGGAAUAUUGGACAAUGGGCGCAAGCCUGAUCCAGCCAUGCCGCGUGAGUGAUGAA